AGACGUCCUCCUGGAUCUACUGGGCUGACACAACAUUAUACUUUGCCGCAAAUCCAUGACUUGUAACCUGCCAGACAAGAAAAUUGGCCUGAGUAAUCAUGUAACUCUAUGAGCCAUAUUUUGAACCUGUCAUCUAUCAACCAGAAAAACCAGGAAGAAAUUUAAUCCCUGAACAGACAAACAAUGAGCUCUGAAAUUGAAUCAGUAAUAAACAAUCUACUAACCAAAAAUACUCCAGGACAAGAUAGAUUCACAGUCGAAUACUACCAGAUUUGCAAAGAAGAGCUGAUACCAUUUUUACUGAUACUAUUCCAAAAAAUUGAGGAGGAGGGACUCCUUCCCCACUCAUUCUAUGAAGCCAGCAUCAUAAUGAUACCAAAACCUGGCAGAGACACAACAAAGAAAUAAAACUUCAGGCCAAUGUUGUUGAUGACCACUGAUGCAAAAAUACUGAACAAAAUACUAGCAAACCAGAUCUAGCAGCACAAAAGUUUAUCUACCAUGAUCAAGUAGGCUUUAUUCCUGGGAUGCAAGGUUGGUUUGAUAUACACAAAUCAAUAAAUGUGACUCAUCACAGAAACAAAACUGAAGACAAAAAAGCACGUGAUUAUUUCAAUAUAUACAUAAAAAGGUUUUGAUAAAAUUCAACAUCCUUUCAUGUUAAAAAACCUUCAAUAAACCAGGUAGUGAAUGAAGAUAUUUUGAAACAAUAAGAGCCAUCUAUGACAAAGCUACAACCAACAGCAUACUGAAUGGGCAAAAGCUGGAAUCAUUCCCCUUGAAAACUGGCACAAGACAAGUAUGUCGUCUCUCACCACUUCUAUUCAACAUAGUAUUGGAAGUCCUAGUCAGAGCAAUCAGGCAAGAGAAAGAAAUAAAAGGCAUUCAAAUAGGAUGAGAGAAAGUCAAACUAUCUCUGUUUGCAGAUGACAUGCUUCUAUAUCUAGAAAACCCCAAAGUCUCUGCUUAAUAGCUCCUUCAGCUGACAAACAACUUCAACAAAGUUUCAGGAUACAAAAUCAACAUACAGAAAUUAGUAGCAUUUCUAUACAUCAGCAACAUCAAAACCAAGAGCCAAAUCAAGAACACAAUCCCAGUGACAAUUGUCAUAAAAAGAGUAAAAUACCUAGGAAUACAGUUAACCAGGGAAGUGAAAGAUCCCUACAAGAAAAAUUACAAAACACUGUUCAAAGAAAUCAGAGAUGACACAAAAAGCAGACAAACAUUUCAUGCUCAUGAAUAGGAAGACUCAAUAUUGUUACAAUGGCUAUACUGCCCAAAGCAACUUACAGAUUCAGUGCUAUUCCUAUCAAACUACCAAUGACAUUUUCUUCACAGAAUUAGAAAAAAUUAUUUUAAAAUACAAAUGGAACCAAAAAAGAGCCCAAAUAGCCUAGGUAAUCAAAAGAACAAAGCUGGAGGCAUUAUGUUACCCAACUUCAAACUGUACUACAGGGCUACAGUAACCCAAACAGCAAGGUACUGGUAUAAAAAUAGACACAUAGACUAACAAAACAGAAUAGAGAACCCAGAAAUAAUGCCAUACACCUACAACCAUCUGAUCUUUGACAAAGCUUACAAAAACAAGCAGUGGGGAAAAGGCCCCAUAUGCAAAAAAUAGCACUGGGAUAACUGGGUAACUAUAUGCAGAAGAUUGAAACUGGACCCCUUCUUACACCAUCUAUGAAAAUCAACUCAAGAUGGAUUAAAGAUUAAAUGUAAAACCCAUCACUAUACAAACCCUGGAAGAUAACCUAGGCAAUACCAUUUAUGGCAUAGGAACUGGCAAAGAUUUCAUGAUCAAUGCACCAAAAGUAACUGCAACAAAAGCAAAAAUUGACAAAUUGGAUCUAAUUAAACUAAAGAGCUUCUGCACAGCAAAGAAACUACCAAGAGAGUAAACAGUCUACAGAAGGGAAAAAUAUAGUUGCAAACUAUGUAUCUGACAAAGAUCUAAUAUCCAGCAUUUACAAAGAACUUAAAUUUACAAACAGCAAUGAAAAUCCCAUUAAAAAGUGGGCAAAGGACAAGAACAGACACUUUUUAAAAUAAGGCCUACAUGCGGCCAACAAGUAUAUAAAAAUGCUUAAUAUCACUGAUAAUUAGAGAAAUGGAAUCAAAACCACAAUGAGAUACCAUCUCAACCUGUCAGAAUGGCUAUUACUAAAGUAAAAAAAUAACAGAUGCUGAUGAGGUUGUGGAGAAAAAGGAACACUUAUACACUGCUGGUGGAAGUGUAAAUUAGUUCAACUAUUGUGGAAAGCAGUGUGGUGAUUCCUUUUAAGAACUGAAAACAGAACUACCAUUCAAUCUAGCAAUCUAAUUACUGGGUAUAUACCCAAAGGAAUAUAAAUUGUCCUACCAUAAAGACACCUACAUGUGUAUGUUUACUGCAGCACUAUUCACAAUAGCAAAAACAUAGAAUCAACCUGAAUGUCCAUCAAUGGCAAACUGGAUAAAGAAAAUAUGGUACAUAUGUAAGAUGGAAUAUUGUGCAGCCAUAAAAAAAGAACAAGAUCAUGUUCUUUGCAGGAACAUGUUUGGAGCUGGAGGCCAUUAUCCUUAGCAAGCAACCACAGGAACAGAAUACCAAAUAUAACAUGUUCUCACUUAUAAGUGGGAGCUAGACAUAGAGUACCUAUGGACACAAAGAAGGGAAUAACAGAUACCAGGGCAUAGCUGAGAGUCAAGGGUAGGAGGAGGAAUAGGAUCAGAAAAAAUCACUGUUGGGUACUAGGCUUAGUACCUGGGUGAUGCAAUAAUCUGUACACCAAACUCCCAUGACACAAGUUUACCUAUAUGACAAACGAUACAUGAACCCCUGAACCUAAAACAAAAUUUUAAAAAAGAAGCAACACUCUCAAAUAUUUAUAGCACAUGUGAUUAGAUGGAGAUGCCAUGAGUUUUAUUUUUCAUAUAUUCUAAUUUUUUAUAAUUAUUAUUUAUCACUUGUCAGAAAAAUGAAGUAAAAAGGAGGGAAAAGAGAAAAUAAAUACACUAGAAAUCAAGUAUUAUAGACAGGUAUUUCUUGAUGUUUUCUGAGUAUUCACUAUGUGUGGGUGUUGUUUGAAGUGCGUUAGUCAAAUGAAAUUGCCUAAUUCUCAUAAUUAGCCAAUGAAAUCAUUAUUAUUAUCUUCCAAGGUUACACCGCAAAUAAAUGGCAUAUCUGGAAUUUGAAGCUUGGUCUAACUCAGAAUCUGUAGUCUUAACUUCCAGUUAAGGAUAAGGAAGGGAGUAACAGCUUCUGAAAUUAAAAAAAAAUUCAUUCAUAAAUUCAAACAGUAUUUAAUUAAUUUAAAAAGUGUAAUAUUUGUUAGCUAUUUGAAAUGGCUCAUUUUGGGUUUAGUCAAACAUAUAGAGAAAAAUGAAUAUUUGUAUAAAAAUUAGCAAGUUACUAAUGGAAUGUAAAUUGGUGAGCUACAGGAUAUAUAUUAUGCUAGAGAUGAUUAUUGUGUCCUGGUGACAUGUCAAGCCACUCCAGACAAAAAGUGGCCUUAAUAAAUCAGAAUUUCAUACACAUGGAAUCCUUCUGAGUUUUACUUCAUUUGUUUAAACCUACAGAUAUAAAAUGUUACCAGGGCUUUGUGUCUAGAUGCCAUUUUGAUGUGGUCUAAAAUGCUUUUCUCUCUGUUUAAUUUAAUGAUAUACACACAUUCCAUAAAAAUUAAUAAAAUACCUGCAACUCUAAUAUUAUGUGGUGGGAAGAACAUGGGCUUUGGAAUCCUUGGAAUUAAAUUUGUUUGGGUUUGAAUUUCAAAUUAAAAUUUUACUCUAAGUUUGUAUUCAUAAAGCAUAUCAUUUGGAUAUAUGAUGUUUUAAUGAAAGUCCAAGUG
rnacentral:lncRNA from 1 species